ACGCUCGACACCUACGGGGGGCAGCAGUAGGGAAUCUUCCACAAUGGGCGCAAGCCUGAUGGAGCAACACCGCGUGAGUGAAGAAGGGUUUCGGCUCGUAAAGCUCUGUUGUUGGAGAAGAACGUGCGUGAGAGUAACUGUUCACGCAGUGACGGUAUCCAACCAGAAAGUCACGGCUAACUACGUGCCAGCACGCCGACGGUAAUCUGAGGCGGGCGUGGCAAGGC
rnacentral:rRNA from 1 species